UUUUAUAUAUUACAAAAGGAAAAAUACAUAUACAUGGACUGUCUCUCUGCAAGUAGUUACCUACCAAAAAGCAAUUUAAUUAAUUACCAAGGGGAGGCUAUGAGACAGCAGAUCUGCAGCAAACACAGUUCAAAUAAAUAGAGAACCACGUAAGCAAUUGUUUUUUUAGGGCCGCACCUGAGGCACAUGGAAGUUCCCAGGCUAGGGGUCAAAUCAGAACUAUAGCCACUAGCCCACACCACAGACACAGCAAUGCCAGAUCCGAACUGUAGCUGCGACCUACACCACAGCUCACAGCAACGCCAGAUCUUUAACCCACUGAGCGAGGCCAGGGAUUGAACCUGUGUCUUCAUGGAUACUAGUCAGAUUUUUUUCCGCUGAGGCUGAGCCAUGAUGGGAACUCCAUGUAAGUAAUUCUUUUGUUUUUUUUUUCUAUUUUUUUUUUUCAUGUAAGUAAUUCUUAAUUGUUUGUCUCUUGUGGGGACCUGGCCUGGAGAAACAAAAUCCACUUUCUUUUUGGUAUUUUUGUAUUUUUAGGGCCGCACCUGAAGCAUAUGGAUGUUUCCGGGCUAGGGGUCUAAUGGGAGCCGCAGCCACUGGCCUACGCCACAGCUCACAGCAACGCCAGAUCCUUAAACUACUGAGCAAGGCCAGGGAUUGAACCCAAAACCUCCUGGUUCCUAGUCGGAUUCGUUUCCAAAAUCCACAUUUCAAGCAAGGGUUUCACUCUUCACUAGCAAAACUUUAUUUAUUUAUUUAUUUAUUAUUGUUAAUUUUUUUUAUGGCCACACCUGUGGCAUAUGGAAGUUCUCAGGAAGGGACUGAAUCCAAACCAUACGUGCAGCAACAUCAGAUCCUUUAACCCACUGUGCUGGGCUGGGGAUCGAACCCUCGCCUCCGCAGCAAUCUGAGCCACUGCAAUCAGAUUCUUAACCCGCAGCACCACAACGGGAACUCCCUGGCAAACUUUUAAUCAGGUUGGCAGCAAACCAAUGAGUUAAUGCAACUGGUUAAGGACAAUGCCAGUGAGGUACGUGAACAAAGGAAAGCACUGCUCCCCUCCCAUGUGUGCCAGCUAGGAAGGGCACUGGGUCAGCCCGUGGGGACGGAGCAGCACCACCCACUCCUGGCCCAGGAAACUGUCAGAGCCCAGACACAGCAUCCCUUGAAAAGGCCAGCACUGGGAGACACGGUCUUUCUCUGUGUCCAGCCCUCGGCAGAUGGUGCCAAUCAACAGGGAGCCCGGAGUGGGGAAUGGGGAGCAGGGAGGAUGGCUCUGAUCCCACAACACAUCACCAGUCUCGACUGACCAAGAGUUGCCUCUAUUUCUCAUGUGAACACUUGGACUAAAAUCAACUGCCAAUCACAGUUCCAUAAUAUCCAAGGAUAUCAAUUAUUCAAAGGCUCUUAUGAAAUUCUCAAAAUGAGUUUAAAUUCACUUUAAUUUAAAAAAAGAAAAAGCUUGUGGUAUGUCUUACAAGCUAGCUUGUCAUAAUAUCAAGCAAGUGACAACAGGUUAUCACUGAACCUGGCUGGAAACCAUUGGCUUUAAAAAAUCAUAAAGAAACUGGCUUGAUGCUGAAAAUUGAGAAGGAAACUCAUUUUCACUUUGAGCCUAGGAAGCCCAACUGAUUCAGAAAAUUAAUAAUGUUUAGCAAAACACGUCAGCAAGUGUCCAAAAGACUGAGAGGAACUGACCUGCGAUCCAUCCAUCCUCCAGAUGGGGAAGGAUAAAACGAAAUCCUGAAACUUUUUGUUAAAGAUUGAAUUACAAAAUUAGGGGAGGGAAAGAAAUGCAGCUGCUGGGAUAGAUUUGAAUUUCACUUAAGCAUUUGAUUCCAAUAUCAGGCAAUUUUCGUCAAGAACAAGAAUUCUCAGCAGCUGAGAAGGAACAAGAGCGAACAUGAGACGAGGCCAAGGCAAUGGGAGGAUGGAGCAGGGAAGCUACGGAGGCUGUGCCCAGGCAGGGCUGUGCCCAGGCGAGGCGGGGCCAGGCGAGGCAGGGCCCAGGGUGAGGAGGGAACCCAGAUGAGGUGGGGGCCCAGGCGUGGCAGGGAUCCACCUCCUUGUUCUGAUUGGGUGGAGGCAGGCCCUCUGUCCAAAGGGCCCCCUCGCUCUUUGGACAGAAGCAAAGCUGGGCUUGAGGUCUUCAGGGCCUGCCAUCCAGGCAGUGAGAUGGCCUCACCACCCCGAUGGAGAUGGUUGAUUUCUGGCUAUUUUUCCAGGAACGGUGAUGCUGACAGGCUGAGCCCUGCACAUUCUUUGGCCAGGUCCUCAUCUACAGCCAAGGGCACACACUUCAAGGUGGCUGGAGCGAGGGCACAGUCAGAGCUGUGCCUGGCUCACCCAUCAGUGGAGUCACAAGUCCCCACACAGCCAGCUCCCCAGCUCACCCAGAGGCACACAGCUGGUUAACAGCACAGGCCCAACUGGAAGCCAGGUCUCCCAGCCACAGCCCCGAUGGAUGGCUGUCCACGCUUCUCCAGCAGUUGGGCUGCAGAAGUCAACCCAUGGGUGGAGCUGGAUACUGCAGCAGACACUUGGACGAGGUCUCUGAGCCUAGAGAGAUGAGGCUCUUUGACGUGUCAGGGGCAGCUUCUUAAGGGCACAGAAGGGAAAAAAACAAAAGCAAGUUUAUACUCAUCAGGAAACAUAAUCUGUGAUUAUAAAUAUUUCAUGAGCAAAGAAAGCGGUACUGGCUGAAAGACUGGGGUGGGGAGGAUGGACAGCAAAUUAGGUUCCAGUUUGCAAAGUGAUAGGGCAGCUGGGGAAGCAGCAGAGCUGAGGCUAUUCUGGGCUGUGCUGCCAGGGCCUGCGUCACAGUCGGGGAGCGGGCUCUGGCCCCUGGAAACCACAGCCUCCCCGUGGUCAGCACAGGACACCUUGGGAGCAAUGUUAAAGCCCAUGGAGGACCCGAGGGGGGACAAUGAGGACAGUCAUUUGAAUGACUGGGGCCAACCUCAACAGCAGGGCAGCGGGAGAGCGGCUGGAGCGAGGCAGCCCGGGCCCUGCACACCCGUGAAAGGAUGGACGAGUGUCCUACUGACUAAGGGCAGGGGAAGAAGUGAGCCUGACUUCCAGAAAGCAAGUGCCCUUCAAAGCUAGAGGGCAGCUUUGGUCAAGCUGCCCCGGUCAGAGCAAAGACCAUGCUCUGGGCAGGUGGUGCCAGGCUGAGAAUGACAAUCCUGCCCUUCCUUUCCCUCAGGCCAGGGGUCUCUUUCUCCUGCCACCUUGGGGAAGCAGCCCAGAAAGCAGAGCCUGCAGCUGGAGAGACUCCCCACUGGCAGGGCGGCCCGGUGCGGUGUGGGCAAGUCCUCCUCCGUGGCCAGGUUCAGCAGAGCAGGUCGGCUAGAGUCUGCAGCCCUUCCAGAGGGCUGCCAGCCCCUAAAGUCCCCGGAGGUACCUGAAUCAGGCUUAGUCAGAGUGAGCCCUGGGGAGUGGUGCACGCCUCGGCCGGGAAGAUGGAAAACGAAGAGGCUUGGCUUCCCAGCAGUCAAAGUGGAGCUGGGGAGGCUCCAAGCAAACCCACUGAAUUCAGGAAAACCGGAUUGUUAUCCUCUAGACUCACAGCUAAUCGGCUCAAGAUGGCAAGGAUGUGGCAACCACAAAAAUAAGACCCCAGGAUGUUGUGGUAAGACCCCCGAGCUGACGUCAAGGGGUCUGGCUUUGAGACCAGCUUGACCACCUACUAGACACAGGGCAGAAAUCACAUUACCUCUGAAAUUCAGUGUCAUCGUGUAAAACACAGGACCAGGGGCCGCCAAACCUAUGGACUCUGAGGAACACCAAGAACGCACGUAUACAUAAAUGCUUUCACAACAGGUCCGAAGUGCUAUUCCAACUUAAGAGGGUCUGUACAUCCACCUGCCUCCUUGACACCUCCUGCACAUCUCAAAGGUGUCUCCAUUCAGAUGCCUGGCUGCUCUUCCUCCCUUAGGACACCAGACCAACCACCCAAGCAUGGAAGCCAGAAACCUGGGGCCCUUCCCCUUCAUCCUAACACAUGACCAAACCCAGUCAACUGCACUGUUGAAGGCCUUUGCUCCCCUGCUUCACCACCACCCUAGGCCAACAGGUCUUUUUUGGGGGCAUGUGGAACUUCCUGGGCCAGGGAUUGAAGCCAAACCACAUUAGUGACAACACUGGACCCUUAACCUGAUGAGCCACUAGGGGACUCCCCAACAGGUCAUCCUGCAAAGCCUACCCUCAUCCACUCUAGAUUCCCUCAGCCCCUCUCAAUCAAUCUAACAGUAUCCCGACCCUACUUGCUAACUACCCUACAACAGGGCCCUGGUGCCCUUCAGGUUAAGGAAACCUUCCCGGCGGUUUCGAGGCUCUGCAUGGCUGGCCCCCUGCUCCUCUACCAGCCCAUCCCACACCAUGCUCCCUCCUGCCACCCUGCUCCAGCUACACUGGCUUUUUCUCUGAGUCCUUGGGACUCACCCUAUUCCCUUCUGCCACAGGGUUUUUGCACAUGCUCUUCCCUCUUCCUGGAACAUUCUAUCCUUGUCUCUCACCAGCUAAUGCCUGUCCAUUUAUUUUUCACUAAGGUAUUAAGUACACACAGUGCACUAAAGUAUACAGCUCAAUAAUUACAUGUGACUCACACUCAGAUCUAGAUUUAAAACAUUUCCAACACCCAGAAGGUUCCCUCGUGCCCUAAGUGGUCUAUACUCCUCCCCACCGCAGGUAACCGCUAUCCAGACUUCUAACACAAAGCCUAUUCGUUCUUCACAAGGCAGCUGAUGCAACCUCUUCUCAGAGAAGCUGCCUCCAGUCCCACAGAAAAAGUCUACACCUCCAUCCCAGGCACUUCUUACACCUGGGGAUCUGCAUGUGCUGGAGUAGGUAGGUGAUCUGUGUGGACCUGCCCAGGAGAGCAAGGAUGCGUGUGUCGUCCCCCCCACCCCCACCCACCUCCGCUGGCGCCUGCAGAGCAAGGAUGACAGAAAACAGCUGGUGCCGAUCACAUUCCUAUCACUGGGCAUUCAUAGGCACUAACUCCUUUAAUCCUCACAUCAAUCCUAUCAAUCAUGGACCAGGAGUUCCCGUCGUGGCUCAGUGGUUAACGAAUCCGACUAGGAAUCAUGAGGUUGCGGGUUCGAUCCCUGGCCUCGCUCAGUGAGUUAAGGAUCCAGCGAUGCCGUGAGCUGUGGUGUAAGUUGCAGACUCGGCUUGGAUCCCUUGUUGCUGUGGCUCUGGCGUAGGCCGGCGGCUACAGCUCCAAUUAGACCCCUAGCCUGGGAACCUCCAUAUGCCACGGGACAUGGCCCUAAAAAAGACCAAAAAAAAAAAAAGCACGGACCAUUAUCAAAUCUCCACUUCACAGGUGAGGAAACAGAGGGACUGAGAGGUAAAACAACCAGCCUGAAGGCAGAAGGGUAAGUGGCAGAGUCAGGAUUGGAACCCAGGCAGCCUGGCUUACAGAGGUGUGUUCUUAAUUAUCAGGCUACUCUGCCUCUCAGAGGCCCUGGAAUAUUUAAUAAGCACUCAAGGGGAGGGAGUGGAAUGGACUGGGAGUUUGGGGUUAGUAGAUUCAAACUAUUCCAUUUAGAAUGGAUAAACAAUGAGGUCCUGCUAUAUAGCACAGGGAACUCUAUCCAAUCACUUGUGACAGAACAUGAUGGAAGAUGAUAUGAGAAAAAGAAUGUAUGUAUCUAUGUAUGACUGGCUCACUUUGCUGUAUAGCAGAAAUUGACAGAACACUGUAAAUCAACUAUUCUUUAAGUUUUUUGUUUUUUGUUUUUUUAGGGCCAUGCCCACGGCACAUGGAGGUUCCCAGGGUAGGGGUCGAAUCAGAGCUACAGCUGCCGGCCUACACCACAGCCACAGCAACUCGAGAUCCGAGACACGUCUAUGACCUGCACCACAGCUCACAGCACCGCCAGAUCCUUAACCCACUGAGCAAGGCCAGGAAUUGAACCCACAACCUCAUGGUUCCUAGUCAAAAUUGUUUCCCCUGAGUCACGAUGGGAACUCCUAUACUUUAAUU
rnacentral:lncRNA from 1 species